UACGUAGGGGGCUAGCGUUGUCCGGAUUUAUUGGGCGUAAAGAGCGUGUAGGCGGCCAGGUAGGUCCGUUGUGAAAACUAGAGGCUCAACCUCUAGACGUCGAUGGAAACCAUCUGGCUAGAGUCCGGAAGAGGAGAGUGGAAUUCCUGGUGUAGCGGUGAAAUGCGCAGAUAUCAGGAAGAACACCCGUGGCGAAGGCGGCUCUCUGGGACGGUACUGACGCUGAGACGCGAAAGCGUGGGGAGCGAACAGGG
rnacentral:rRNA from 1 species